rnacentral:rRNA from 1 species
AACGUAGGAGACAAACGUUUAUCCGGAGUUACUGGGCGUAAAGGGCGUGUAGGCGGUCUGUUAAGUCUGGCGUGAAAGCUCUCGGCUAAACCGGGAGAGGUCGUUGGAUACUGGCAGACUAGAGGACGGUAGAGGCGUGUGGAAUUCCGGGUGUAGUGGUGAAAUGCGUAGAGAUGUGGAGGAACACCAAUGGCGAAGGCAGCCUUCUGGGCCAACACUGACGCUCAUGCACGAAAGCGUGGGGAGCAAACAGG